AUGCCGCUACUUCGAUUCUCACCAAAGCUCGACAGGUGUCAAGGGCGAUUCAAGGAAGAGUGGAUGUGGUGGUUUGUGGGCUUGGUUCUGCUAGUGUGCACGAGAUGGGCCAUGUCAAUUUAGGAUGAGAGAUGGGUCGAAGCAAAAAGAAAAGCUUGCUGGGCCAAGCAGUCAAGAGCCAAAUAAUCAUGAGGGGGCCGAGUCUCGGCUUAAGGUGGUCCUAAAAGCCAUGAAGGCUGGUACAA
rnacentral:lncRNA from 1 species